AUUGAACGCUGGCGGCAUGCCUUACACAUGCAAGUCGAACGGCAGCACGAGUGCUUGCACCUGGUGGCGAGUGGCGAACGGGUGAGUAAUACAUCGGAACGUACCUUAUCGUGGGGGAUAACGCAGCGAAAGCUGUGCUAAUACCGCAUACGCCCUGAGGGGGAAAGCGGGGGAUCGCAAGACCUCGCGCGAUUAGAGCGGCCGAUGCCUGAUUAGCUAGUUGGUGGGGUAAAAGCCCACCAAGGCGACGAUCAGUAGCUGGUCUGAGAGGACGAGCAGCCACACUGGGACUGAGACACGGCCCAGACUCCUACAGGAGGAAGCAGUGGGGAAUUUUAGACAAUGGGGGCAACCCUGAUCCAGCAAUGCCGCGUGAGUGAAGAAGGCCUUCGGGUUGUAAAGCUCUUUUGUCAGGGAAGAAACACCGGCUCUAACACAGUCCGGGAAUGACGGUACCUGAAGAAUAAGCACCGGCUAACUACGUGCCAGCAGCCGCCGUAA
rnacentral:rRNA from 1 species